rnacentral:rRNA from 1 species
CCUACGGGAGGCAGCAGUGGGGAAUAUUGGACAAUGGGCGCAAGCCUGAUCCAGCCAUGCCGCGUGAGUGAUGAAGGCCUUAGGGUUGUAAAGCUCUUUUGCCAGGGAAGAUAAUGACUGUACCUGGAGAAUAAGCCCCGGCUAACUUCGUGCCAGCAGCCGCGGUAAUACGAAGGGGGCUAGCGUUGUUCGGAAUCACUGGGCGUAAAGCGCACGUAGGCGGACUUUUAAGUCAGGGGUGAAAGCCUGAGGCUCAACCUCAGAACUGCCCUUGAUACUGGGAGUCUUGAGUAUGGUAGAGGUUGGUGGAACAGCAAGUGUAGAGGUGAAAUUCGUAGAUAUUUGCUAGAACACCAGUGGCGAAGGCGGCCAACUGGACCAUAACUGACGCUGAGGUGCGAAAGCGUGGGGAGCAAACAGGAUUAGAUACCCUGGUAGUCCACGCCGUAAACGAUGGAUGCUAGCCGUUAGCCAGCUUGCUGGGUAGUGGCGCAGGUAACCCUUUAAGCAUCCCGCCUGGGGAGUACGGUCGCAAGAUUAAAACUUAAAGGAAAUUGACGGCUUGAGACGUUGCGAGCGACACGAGGGAGAGG